UCAUAAUCCACGCCAUGGGGAGGAAUAAAGCCUGACAGGGACAGGAGAGACAGGGCUGGGCCUCCACGGCGCCAUGCCAGCACUAACCAGGAGAGCGAGGGCCAGCUCAAGGACCCACGCCCCACCACCCCGCUUCAGUGCUGUGCUGUUGUAUCCCUGGGGGCAGAGGAGGCUUCAAGUUGUUUUCUCCACUUACCAGCUGGAUGACUUAUGAUUGGCCCUGAGCUGACAUCUGCCACCAAUCCUCCUCCCUUUGCUGAGGAAGACCAGCUGGGGCCAGCAUCUGCAGCCAUCGUCCUCUACUCAUAUGUGGGACGAUCAUCACAGCAUGGCCCGACAAGCAGCACGUAGGUCUGCACCCAGGAUCCGAACCAGCAAACCUCUGGGCCGGGCUGAGAAAGUGGAACGUGUGAACUUAAGUGCUGCGCCACCAGGCUGGCCCCCUGUGGUGCUUCUUAAUGAGAUCCCCAGCUCUCUGUAUCUUUGCCUUACAGUGAACAGGAUCCACACUGAGGGAACUACACAUGCAAAUUAUCAUUAGCAUGAAAACGGG
rnacentral:lncRNA from 1 species